rnacentral:tRNA from 1 species
GCGGGGGUCGCCGAGCUUGGUCAAAGGCGCUGGGUUUAGGUCCCAGUACAUACUGUUUCGCAGGUUCAAAUCCUGCCCCCCGCAC